AAAAAAAAAGAAGCAAAAUAAACUUGGGAACAAUAGCGAAAAUUUUUGUUAACUUGUCUCAAAUGAUCUCUUAAUUGAUGUUUUUAAACUCACUAUUGUUACUUUAGAUUGGAAAAAGGUUUUUUUCUACCAUUCACUUUACACAUCGAAUCGAAUACUACAUGAUUUCCUUAAGUAUAUUAGAUGAAAGGCAUAAAGAAAGUAAAGAAAUUAAUAAGAGAGAGAGAGAGUAUCGUUCGUUUCAUCUUUAGUUGUGUGACAUUCACGAUAUCUAUGAUAUUCUAUAGAUAAGCAGAAGCUAACAAAUGAAGCGCAGCUAUACCUAUACAUACGUUUGGACCUUUUUGCCCGAAAAUGAAAUGUUCUCGUUCAAAAACUUGUCAAUCUUUUUUCGUAUUUUUUUUUUUUUUUUUAAUUCAAUUUUGUACCAAUUACUCUACACUGCAAGUCGUAUCGUUUUGCAGACAAGUCUUCAAGUGGAGUUAGGAUUGCAUGGUGAAAGAGUGACUCUAGAGCGUUGCAAUUUUUUUUAUGUUUUUUAAAAAUCGUUUUUUUUUUUCUUUUCCAAUUACCUAAAAAUGUAUGCUUAUUAACUUCCUUGAAUAUUACGCUUCUAAUAGAUUUUCUUUCAUCUAAUAAAAAUUAAAGAAAGGUACGGCCUUUUUAGUCCGUUUUACAAUACGAAAAUAUAUGAUAGAUGGAAAGAUAUCCUCAUGGAAGCUCUGGUAGAGCCGAGAUAAGAAUGUAUCCGUCAUACUAAACCACCAUGUUCUAGUAAAGUCUAUCUAUAGUUUGACCCCUCAACACAAUAAUAGCUAAUUUCUUGCUAUUCUUUACCUGUUUCUAAAAAGGUUUCUUUGUAUCUAUAGCACCAAUGCUAUGGACUUUUAUCUCGAUUACUAUAUUUAUUGGAGAAUCAUUGGUUCUUCGGUUAUUAUUAGCCCAAUCUGCUUUAUUGCCUUUAUCUUUUUUGUUUUUUUUUUGGGUAGGGGAUCACACUCUCUAUUUUCAUUGCGUCAUUGUCUUUAGACGUAACGAAUAUCAUUUUAGAUUCGUAAGCUAUCGUUUAGUGAUUAUAUGACAAACAAUCAUGAUCUCGUCAUCUCAAUCCUGGUGCAUUUUUUUUUUUGUAUAGAAAUUUCCAGUUUUACUAAUUGUGCAAUUUAAUCCAAAAAAAAAAAAAAUAAAAAAUAAAAAAAUCUAGUAGCAAUAAAUAUAAAAACCGUUUAAAAAAUCGGUAUGCAAUGAAACAAAAUGCUAAUCGGCUAAUUGCCAAUGCGAAAAAAUGCAAAAAGUUAUACAAUUUUUAUUCAUAUGCCUAAAGUGAUGUCUAUCUAAGCUUCACUUUAAAAUGAACAUAAUUUUUUCUUUUGUUUUUUUUUUUUCUUUUCUUUCAUUAAUCAUUAAAGUUUGAGUGAGAACUGAAUGAACAUAAUUGCUGCUGAAUUUUAUAUAAAACUAAAUUUUUGAAAGUACAAUACAAUAUAGAAGAGCAAAGAGCUCAAAUACCUAUUAUGUUAGGUGAGGAGAGCACAUAAAAAAACAAAAAAAUUAUGCUAACUGGGGGACGAGGGAAAAGGAUGGUUGGCAAUAGCACUAAAAACAGAAAACAUUAAAAAAAAAAAAAAA